UUGUCGUAUGAGUAUUAGAUUGUUGAUGAAGAAUAUAAAUUACUAAUGGAAGUUAUUAAUAGUUUCUAUAUUUCUUCGUUGUCGUUGAUACUUUUUAUACUUCUGAGUUAAUAGCUAUUAGUAGCAUAUGCUAUUUGAUUCCCAUCAUUUAUAGUGGUUAUGUGCUAGGUUUGGUUAUAUGACUUUAUCUUUGUUCUAUGGAAGCAAUCGAGCCUAUCCUUUUCUCUGUCAUGGGUGGAAAAUGAGAUCUUAAUUGUACAUGUCUUGUGUGACUUUCAAGUAACAGAAUAGGCAUUAUGAACUGGUAAAAUUCUGUUGAAAUCGAAAAUUUUGAAAGUUGAGAAGGAUCCAUAUGCACUAUAUGAAUUUUGAACAACACUUUGAAAUCCUAAUUUUAUUAGCAUUAUUACAUGUCAGUGGAGGUUUUUGCUUAAUAUCCAAACUCGAAAUUAAGCUAAGUAACAAGUUUUUGAUUAAAUAUUGCUUCUCUUAUGCUCAAAUUCCAGAAGCAAAGUGAUUGGACUUCAUAACAAUAUUUCAAGUAAUUGUGCUUUCCUUUUGGUUAUAUUUUUUUUUAUUUUCUGUCAUGAUUUCAUCCAUAAGAGCUGGAAAGGUUAUCACACAAAUUUGAUGAGAAUGUUCUGGAUGCAACGAAGAAGUUUGAAAAGCUAAUCACGGAUAAGAAGGAAAUUGAAGGAUUACAUGCUACUGCUCUUGGGUUGGCUGCACAAAGUGCAGUGUCCAAGGUAUAUCAAAUGCUUAGAAUUUGGUGAAUCCUCUUACAACUGCCUCACAUAUUUGGAAGUAUUCAAGUUUGUGGGGCCACCAGAGAACAAUGAGAAAGUUUUUUUCUUUGAAGUUCUUUCCAUUCCCAUCACACUCUGUGUGAAUCUUUGAAGUGAGUUGGGGUUAAAGACAACGAGUUAAGGUUUUUUUCUUUUUGUUUUUGUUUUAUUUUUGUCUCUUUAUUAUUAGGGUGAAAGUUUUCUUCAGCAUCAUAUCUGCAAAUUGCAGGCAACAUAGAAAUUUUCUAUUUUUGUUGGUUUUUUGAGUUCUAGUGAAAGAAUUUUUGGUGGGUUUGAGAGAUUUUGAUGAUUAAUUUAUGGGUUGAAAGUAGUAGUGGGGGUUAUAGAGAUAAUUACCAAUUGUUGAGAGAGAAAGUUGAGUUUUUUUUUUUUUGGCCGAGAGAGAGUUGAAUUCUUUGUUUUUUGGUGGGUGAUUCAAUAAUCUUGCUUAGAAUGGCUGUGGUCAGUCUUGUGCCUACAACUACACAAAGGAUGGGUUCUGUGAGGUCUUUUUCUGUUGAUGUUGGGGGAGAAAAUUUGGAGGAACCUAAUCCAAGUGUGGUUGAUCAGCCAAUCUAUGUUGCCGUGUCAAAAGAAUUGAAGGAGAGCAAAUCAAAUCUGGUAUGGGCAAUACAACACUCCGGAGGAAAGAGGAUUUGCAUUCUUUAAUUUGGAGGAAAGAUAAACAUUUGCAGGAUAAUUUCAAGCUUAUCGAUACAACAAACAUGUGGGCAAGUUUAAGAGCUAUUAAGAGAUAUGCCGACACUGAUGAAUCAAAGCACAAGAGGCACUCAGAUUUGAAGGUAUAACUCCCUUGCUGUCAUUAGUUCAUUACUCUACUGAUAGCUUAUGUAAAGAAUGAAUUGAAUGGGUCACUGCCCCAUGAAAAUGACUAUUUUCAAACUCUUCUACAGGACACAGUAGCUGGACCUGCUAUAUAGGUAUAUGCCUAUUUGUUUAUGCUUCUCUAGUGAACUUGUGCUUGUGCUUCUAUUUUGAUAUUGU